GACAAUUAACUAGCGCGAAGGAUUGUGGUGAAUUAGUCGGCCACCAGUGAAGCCUAGCAGGAAAAAACUAAAUGUAGACCAUUUCAUCAGAAUUUGUACAAGAAGGCGGGGAUGAGCGUAUGGCAGCAAGGGAGGCGGCUCAGCUCGGACCGGCCAUGGCGCUAGCGCUUCUGAUUCCCCACCGGCCUCCUUAGUCCCCUAGCCACAACCGGCUCCAAUCCCUCGUCUGCUAUGGUGCUGUGGGAGGAAGAGGAAGAGUAGGCAUGCUUUCUGCUGCAUCCAGCAUCCACACGGUCAGAUUGACGAGCCUAAACUCUGGGCUUUGAGAAGGCUUCAAUUUUCAGAAACUGUUGCCCAGAGAGAUGUCGAUGAAGCACUACGCCUGUUGCAGAUGUCAAACUACUUGAUCUACUUUGAUGACCGCCAGCGGUCUAGCCUUGAUGUGAUCUCUGGCAUAUACUCCAUCCUGAGAGAUGAAGCAGCAAGGACUAGCAACAAGGAUGUCAAAUUUGGUCUUUCUCUUAACCUUAUCUCCAGAAAGUUAUAAUCUCUACCUAUGGCUACAUUAAUUAGUCCAUUGCUGGGCAUUGAUUGCUAACAGAAAUUCUCUCCUACUCCAAUGUUUGUGAAAAUAGGAGUGCACUGAGGCUCAGCUGAAGGAAUGCCCGGAGGAGUAUGCAUCCUUGAACGUGUGGCAGAUCCACCCAAGCACAUUUGACAUACACUUCUGCGACGCCUGAUCCAGGAACAAACAUUCCAUCAUAAUCAGACGAUUGUGAUGCAUGAUUAGGGCGUCUAAUGCCAUUGUUUGGGAUCUAUUAAGUUUGAAGGACCUUAGUGAUAGCACAUGCAGAUUGAUUACAGUUUUACAGAUUUUUAUGCAUAAAUGGAAGUACAGUGUUAGACCUGAGAAGGUUUGAACAUUUAUUUCAUAAUUGGGGAAUCAAUUGUUGACCAAGUUGCUCCAUUCUAAUUCCUGCUGAUAAUUUUAUUCUUCUCACUCCCUUUUUUUGGGUGUUGUUAAUGAUGUUGGUUGUUUGCAUAUUGUCUAAAGAUAUAAUCCUCACUAAGUAAUUAUUUCUGUAAGUUGCAAAUAGAAAUGUAGCACUAAAACGAUAAGGUUGUAUUAACUUCCUCUUUCUUUUCUUUUCAUCUGCUUUUGAUUCAUAUUUCGGUUAUUUGCUGUUACUAAUGAUAAGAUUUUUUUGUGUGUGUAGUUCAUUGACUCCUUAUUACAAUGAGCAUGUCCUUCUUUCCAUAAAAGAGAUUGAGGAGAUGAAGGGAUGAGGUAAAUGAAGAUGGUGUUUCCACUCUGUUCUACCUACAGAAAGUUUACCCCAGUUGAGGGAAGAGGAAGAACAUUUUCUCUUUAAGCAGUCACAAAUAACAAAUUAUAUUCUGAAGCAACCUGGCAUUUACUGUGUGUGCCUAUGCUUAUGUAUGCAGAUGAAUGAGCUUCCAAGCAAGGGUUCAUUGGGAGGAAGAACUUAAAGAAAAUGAAGAACCACUGAAGGAAGAGCUUCGCCCAUGAGCUUUGGAUAAAGAGGUCAAACGGUAAUUUGAACGGCUACUAUUGAUUAACACUAUUUUGUUGAUUUAAGCUACACAUAUCACCCAAUAAUGCUUAAUCAUGUGAUUAAUCUGAAAACGUAUGAGGUUCACCUAUGUGUUAUCAUGCCAGCAAUUUGGAAAUGACAAGUGUUCUGGUCAUUCUAAUGCCCAUGUAAGUGUAGCUCUUCUAAUCUUAUUAGAUUUGCGACAUGCUCCAUUUCUGUUCAAUAAUUGAGCACACAAUGCUCUUAAGCUUACUUAAAUUGAGAAGGAAGCUUAAGAUGUAGCUUCCACACCUGUCUUGAUGUAGUUAAAGAUGUAGCUUCCACACCCGUCUUGGUGUAGUUAAAACUUAAAACGAAUGUAAGGGAAAUUCAGGGAUGCAGUUUGCUCUGCUUCAUCCUAUUUUUUGUUCAACUUUAACAAAUGAUUCCUGAUAAAAUAUUCCCUCUUUAAUAUUUAUCUUUAUCAUUCUGGCUGAUUUCUGCUGACACUGACAACCUCCAAUUGCAGUACAUAUCCAGAGUCUUUUAACUCCCCUUUUUAGCUUUUGGUUUUCAAUUCUGUUACAUAUGAAUGAUGGAUUUUUCCUUUAUAUUUGUUGUUUAAGAAAAGCUAAUAACUACUCAUAUUAUUAUGAUUGUUGAUUCCAUUCAAUACAAAUCCUUUUAGGCAAUUUAAAUCUCAGCGAAUGUGGUAUUUCACUAAACAUGCGCUCAGAUUCUUCCAAGUUAAUAGUAUGAAUUCGAUUGGAUGGGACCACCAGAAAAUAUUUUACUUGUAGUUCCCAUUGCUGCAAAUAUUGGUUCUUCCUAAAUUUAUUCAUUAGGUAGU